UAGUCCACGCCGUAAACGAUGAGUGCUAGUUGCUGGGUCUUGAACUCGGUGACGCAGCUAACGCAUUAAGCACUCCGCCUGGGGAGUACGGUCGCAAGAUUAAAACUCAAAGGAAUUGACGGGGACCCGCACAAGCGGUGGAGCAUGUGGUUUAAUUCGAGGCUACGCGAAGAACCUUACCUAGCCUUGACAUAUUAAAGAACACUUUAGAGAUAGAGUGGUGCCUUCGGGAGCUUUUAUACAGGUGCUGCACGGCUGUCGUCAGCUCGUGUCGUGAGAUGUUGGGUUAAGUCCCGCAACGAGCGCAACCCUCGUCACUAGUUACUAACGGUUUGGCCGAGGACUCUAGUGAGACUGCCUUCGCAAGGAGGAGGAAGGUGAGGACGACGUCAAGUCAUCAUGGCCCUUACGGCUAGGGCAACACACGUGCUACAAUGGCCAGGACAAUGAGAAGCGAUACCGCGAGGUGGAGCAAAUCUAUAAACCUGGUCUCAGUUCGGAUUGU
rnacentral:rRNA from 1 species